rnacentral:rRNA from 1 species
AGUGAACGCUGGCGGUAGGCCUAACACAUGCAAGUCGAACGGCAGCACAGUAAGAGCUUGCUCUUACGGGUGGCGAGUGGCGGACGGGUGAGGCAUACAUCGGAAUCUACUUUUUCGUGGGGGAUAACGUAGGGACACUUACGCUAAUACCGCAUAUGAUCUACGGGUGAAAGCAGGGGUUCUUCGGACCUUGCGCGAUUGAAUGAGACGAUGUCGGAUUAGCUAGUUGGCGGGGUAAAGGCACACCAAGGCGAGGAUCCGUAGCUGGUCUGAGAGGAUGAUCGGCCACACUGGAACUGAGACACGGUCCAGACUCCUACGGGAGGCAGCAGUGGGGAAUAUUGGGCAAUGGGCGCAAGCCUGAUCCAGCCAUACCGCGUGGGUGAUGAAGGCCUUCGGGUUGUAAAGCCCUUUUGUUGGGAAAGAAAAGCAGCGGGUUAAUACCCCGCUGUUCUGACGGUACCCAAAGAAUAAGCACCGGCUAACUUCGUG